UGAGGCGCAUCUCGCUGGGUGUCUGCAAAUGCAUUCCUUGAGGUGGGGGGGAAGGUACGCCCUGAAUCUGGGCCAUGCCACGUCAUGGGCUCCAGGCAGGAUGAAAUAAAAGAAGGAAAGAGGGAAGCAGCUCACUUCUUGCUUCAGCUUCAUGGACAUAUGGAGUUCUCCACCGCACACACUCCUGACACCAGGAAGGUUUGCCCGUGAGGAUGGAGCCAAGCAACCAUGGACCGAUCUUUCUUCCUAAACCAAGAGGAGAAUGGCAAGAGGGAGUCUGACAGGAAGUGAGGAUUCGAGACUUCAAACACAAACAUUAUGAAAAACAAGCAACAUCUGCAAACAACACUCUUGCUGAGGCACUUCCUGGACGGUGGAGCGGAACUGAGCAGGCUCCGAGCAGCAGGCAGCCCUCGGCGCAAGCCUUCAGCAGCCUUAAUAUUUAGCGAUGAUCCCAGUAAUGACUUACCGGAUGAGUCGAAGAAUACUCGACUCAUUUCAGCAGUCAUUGGGUACCGGCUCACUGGGACCUUUCCGCUUUGGAAAGGUCCUGCAAGGCAGAAGAGAGACUCCCAUGUGAAGAAUAUAUUGUUGUUUUGGCAAAUUGUAAACAAAAUCCCCACCCCCACCCCCUUUCCCCCUGGGACUGGCCUGGCUGUGUCUGGUUUGACAGAAGUUUCUAGCUGCGAUUCUUCUGACUGCCUCUGCCACAAUCCUGGAAAUUCUAGAGGGACAGCACGCAUGAGCUGCUGUGGAAUCCGUGCCUUGUGGAAUCUUAAAUAGAAUGAAACAGGCCCCCAACAAUCAAUAUUACUGACAAAUUAAUCUCUGCAAAUAAACUGUUGUGCAUGUCAAGACUGCUCCAAGUCCCCAGAAUAAUUGUGUCAAGGAAGUUGAGGUCU